UGGGGAAUAUUGCACAAUGGGGGAAACCCUGAUGCAGCGACGCCGCGUGAGUGAAGAAGUAUUUCGGUAUGUAAAGCUCUAUCAGCAGGAAAGAAAAUGACGGUACCUGACUAAGAAGCCCGGCUAACUACGUGCC
rnacentral:rRNA from 1 species